GGUUUUCUGUGAGAUUAUAGAGAAUCGGGCCUGCCCAAUGGAUUUGAAUGGCCGCAGUAUUUUGACUGUGCUAAGGUAGCAAAAUAAUUAGUUUUGUGAUUUAAGACUGGAAUGAAAGGUUUGACGAAAGGCCAACUGUCUUGGGAUUAGAGUUUGAAUUUUGAGUUGAUGUGAAAAUACAUCAGUUAGUCUGAGGGAAGAGAAGACCCUAUUAAGCUUUACAGGUGGUGUUGCGAGGGUUAGAUGGAACCUUGUGGGAUUGAGCUUGUUUUACUGGGGCGGUAGUGAAAGAGGAGAUCUUUUGAUAGGAUUGUGAGAGUGUGGCGGGAGUGUUUAGAGAUCCAUUAAUUUUAAUGAUAGUGGGAUUAAGUUACUGUAGGGAUAACAGCGUAAUGAUGUUGGAGAGUUCUUAUCGAUAAUGUGUUUUGCGACCUCGAUGUUGAAUUAUUAUGUCUUUUUGGUGUAGAAGCUGGAAAAGAGAGUCUGUUCGACUUUUAAAAUUUUACA
rnacentral:rRNA from 1 species